rnacentral:rRNA from 1 species
GACGAACGCUGGCGGCGUGCUUAACACAUGCGAGUCGAACGGUGAAGCUCCAGCUUGCUGGAGUGGAUCAGUGGCGAACGGGUGAGUAACACGUGAGCAACCUGCCCCUGACUCUGGAAUAAGCGCUGGAAACGGCGUCUAAUACUGGAUACGAGAAGGGCCCGCAUGGGCACUUUCUGGAAAGUUUUUCGGUUGGGGAUGGGCUCGCGGCCUAUCAGCUUGUUGGUGAGGUAAUGGCUCACCAAGGCGACGACGGGUAGCCGGCCUGAGAGGGCGACCGGCCACACUGGGACUGAGACACGGCCCAGACUCCUACGGGAGGCAGCAGUGGGGAAUAUUGCACAAUGGGCGAAAGCCUGAUGCAGCGACGCCGCGUGAGGGAUGACGGCCUUCGGGUUGUAAACCUCUUUCAGCAGGGAAGAAGCGAAAGUGACGGUACCUGCAGAAGAAGCACCGGCUAACUACGUG